rnacentral:rRNA from 1 species
UACGUAGGCAGCAAGCGUUGUUCGGAAUUACUGGGCGUAAAGGGCUCGUAGGCGGCCAACUAAGUCAGACGUGAAAUCCCUCGGCUUAACCGGGGAACUGCGUCUGAUACUGGAUGGCUUGAGUGUGGGAGAGGGAUGCGGAAUUCCAGGUGUAGCGGUGAAAUGCGUAGAUAUCUGGAGGAACACCGGUGGCGAAGGCGGCAUCCUGGACCAUUACUGACGCUGAGUGAGCGAAAGCCAGGGGAGCAAACGGG